rnacentral:rRNA from 1 species
AAGGCGACGACGGGGUAGCCGACCUGAGAGGGUGAUCGGCCACACUGGGACUGAGACACGGCCCAGACUCCUACGGGAGGCAGCAGUGGGGAAUAUUGCACAAUGGGCGCAAGCCUGAUGCAGCGACGCCGCGUGAGGGAUGACGGCCUUCGGGUUGUAAACCUCUUUCACCAGGGACGAAGCGUGAGUGACGGUACCUGGAGAAGAAGCACCGGCCAACUACGUGCCAGCAGCCGCGGUAAUACGUAGGGUGCGAGCGUUGUCCGGAAUUACUGGGCGUAAAGAGCUCGUAGGCGGUUUGUCGCGUCGUCUGUGAAAUUCUGCAACUCAAUUGCAGGCGUGCAUGCGAUACGGGCAGACUUGAGUACUACAGGGGAGACUGGAAUUCCUGGUGUAGCGGUGAAAUGCGCAGAUAUCAGGAGGAACACCGGUGGCGAAGGCGGGUCUCUGGGUAGUAACUGACGCUGAGGAGCGAAAGCGUGGGUAGCGAACAGGAUUAGAUACCCUGGUAGUCCACGCCGUAAACGGUGGGUACUAGGUGUGGGUUCCUUUUCACGGGAUCCGUGCCGUAGCUAACGCAUUAAGUACCCCGCCUGGGGGAGUACGGA